AUGAUAAAUACUAUUUUCUAAGACACAUAAUGAUUUAAUGUUGCAGACCACCUCUGAAAUAUCCCCAAAGACGCCAAUAUUUAUGCAGAGUAGGAAUGAGGUCUGGGCAGGAAUCUUAUAUCUUCUCUUCCUCAUGUUCUCUUCAUGGAAAUUGACACUAUUAUCUUCAGCUCUUCAUCCUGCAGGUCAAGUCAGAGCUUUUACUCAGCUUUCUUCCUGGCUGAAAAUCACCAAAGCAAUCAAGUAGCAUUGUCCAAUUGAUGAAUAAACAACUGGCAUCCAUGGAAGAAUCCAGUAGAGAAACAAUGCUCGCCCUGGACUGACAGAAAACCUGAGGAAUUGAUGAACUAGCAAGCCCAGGUGCUCAGAACAAAAUUUCAUUGAUGCUACCAGAGAUCAUGCUUGAUAGGCUACCAACGAGUGAAAGAUUUCCACAUCUGUGGGAGGAAGAUGUCUUCAGCAUUGUUUUUUAAAAUACAUGGACAUUUGGGAAAUGAGAAUGUAAAGCCUCUUCAUGUUUCCAGUCUGGAAAACUAUGUGCAAAUAGUGGACACAUUUGUCCCAUAUAUCUUCUCAGUCUGAAAUGAUAAAUAUGCAAAUACUAUUCUAUGGUAUGGCCUGAGUGCAACUCAAAGUCAUGCAGAUGCUUACAUUGUUGCAUCUACAGAUUUUAUUAGGCUGACAUACUUUGCUACUGUUUUGGCCAUUGCUUUUCUUUUAUAAAUUUGUGACUUAAAAAUCAACCCCAAUUCUAGGACAAAAAUCUUCCUAACAAGUGUUAGGCUGCCAAUUGUAAUCUCUUCAGUCAGCAAGAAACCUUCCCCUACAGAUGGAAAAUGAGUUGUAAUUGAUGAAUUUUGAGAAACUACUUCUUGUUUUUUUUUUUUUUAACUAAGUUCUAUUAUUACAGUUUUACAAAUCAGAAAAAAAACCAGACAUGAAAAUGUUAUAAUUUGCAUUAUCUUGGUGAGAUUAUGAAAAUACUCCAGAGUAUUGGAAAAACUGUUUCCUAAUAAGGAAAGCAGAUAACCAUCUUAACAUAAUGUCAACACUUUUUAUUCAUUGAGUUUAGAAGUCUGCUAAACCGAAAAAAAUAAAAGUUAAUUUGGGUAUCACAUAAUAUUUUGGACAAAGUUGUUCUUAAAUGAAAGUGUUUUGUCUUCCCAUUAGAUAGAAGUGAGCCUUUGUUUCCUGCUAAGGGAAAACAGCAUAAAACUUGUAAGAUGUGCAAUAGAAUCCUAACAAGUGGCACUGCUGUAAGUGUGACCAUAAAGCAGUUAUAGCUCUCUAUAAUCACACUGUAGUCAUAGUAAGUCACAGUGGAUUACUUAAAAGUAUUAAAUCACAAAGCACAGAAGCCCAAGUGGAAUCUAUGACUUGAAGAAGCAUGGUGUUGUGGACUUUUCCAGGGGAGAGGCAAACACAUAUCUACUCACCCCAGUUAGGGCACUAAUGACAGAUCAAAGAAACAAUUCCACUAAAUCCUAACUUCGUGAGUCAACAAGUUUAUUGAGGUUAAUUACAAGAUAAGCUAUACUACAAAAAAAGCUUUCAGGCAAAUUGACAGGUUGUAGAGUAACCUCACUCUAGCAGUCCUUAGGACUUAGCUUUCGACCCCACCUGGGGGAGGGACAUUUUUGAUUCUUGUAAAUUUCAGGACUUUUGAGACUUGUGAGUUGUUUACUUUCUGGGACCUGUAAAUUCUACUUCCAGAGUUUUAAUGAGCUUCCCUCUAAGAGAGACUGUUUCAAAUUGGGAGAUAUUUCUAUAUGACACACGAACGUUCAGACAGCUCACUGGAACCAUUGCAUAGGUUGUCUGUCAUUCCAGGAAAAGAAUAUAGAAAGAAAAAAAAAAGGAAAUGAGCAGCAGGGAAUCAUGGAAUUGGCUUGGUCUGACUGCCACAUGUCAUGAUGUUUAUAAGGUUUGAGCAAGUGGCUCCUGGGGCAUUUUUUGUGACUUUCAUUUCCUGAGAACUAGAGGCACUCCCUCAGACAGUGAAGCAUACAGCAGGCCACCUAUGUGUCUCUCUGUGUUCCUUCGAGGUCAGCAAAGCAUAUAGAACUUGGCUGAACAAUUAAGUGUUAGACAUUAAUCUUGCAUACCCUGUCUAGCUUGCAACCAACAUUAUAUCAUAGCAAUUGUCAUUAUUUUCUGCUUUGAUAAGUGUAUAAAGUGUCUUGAAAUAAACUUAUCUCAGUCUGUCUUGCUGAUAUCCCUC
ensembl:lincRNA